rnacentral:rRNA from 1 species
UACGGAGGGUGCAAGCGUUAAUCGGAAUUACUGGGCGUAAAGCGUGCGCAGGCGGUUUUGUAAGUCAGAUGUGAAAUCCCCGGGCUUAACCUGGGAACUGCGUUUGAAACUACAAGGCUAGAGUGUGACAGAGGGGGGUGGAAUUCCACGUGUAGCAGUGAAAUGCGUAGAGAUGUGGAGGAACACCGAUGGCGAAGGCAGCCCCCUGGGUUAACACUGACGCUCAGGCACGAAAGCGUGGGGAGCAAACAGG